rnacentral:ncRNA from 1 species
UGGAACAAUGUAGGUAAAGGAAAUCAACAAAAUGGAUUUAUAACUUUAGGAAAAAGAUUGGCUCUGGUUGGGCUUAGGGGUCUAGACCUUCUAGGCUGCUGGCAGUCAGCCUGAGCUACCUGUGCAGCGAGGGCAAGCCCCCGUGAGAAAACUUGGUGAUGGAUGUAUGCCCCUCCCCGUGGGGGCAUUCCCUAGGCAUCAAACAAUUAGCUCAAAACUGGAAUGGACAAAGGGAAUCCAAUUGUUUAAUUAAAAUAAAGCAUUGCAAUGGUUCUUAUAGAUGUUGACACAAUGUGAUUUUUACCUAGUUCUCUGAAUGUAAAAGUGAAGAAAUUCAACCAAAUGCAGGGAGUAACUAUAACUCUUUUACAAAUGCCUCAUCAUUUAAUUAGUGAUGUGCAUGAAUAAAUUAAUAAGAUUCCCAUUGUCCCUAUCUACUAUUUAAUGAAACCACAGCCAAGAGAACAAGCUUGG